AUGCAGUCGAGGGGCAGCACAUGAUUGGUAACACGAUGGUGGCGACCGGCGCACGGGUGAGUAACACGUAUGCAACCCGCCCAUAACUGGGGGAUAACCCGUCGAAAGGCGGACUAAUACCGCAUGACAACACAGAUCCGCAUGGUGAUGUGUUUAAAGAUUAAUCGGUUAUGGAUGGGCAUGCGUUCCGUUGGAUACUUGGUAGGGCAACGGCCUACCAAGUCUGCGAUGGAUAGGGGUUCUGAGAGGAACGUCCCCCACACUGGUACUGACACACGGACCAAACUCCUACGGAAGGCAGCAGUGAGGAAUAUUGGUCAAUGGGCGAGAGCCUGAACCACCCAAAUCGCGUGAAGGAUGAAGGUAUUAUGUAUUGUAAACUUCUUUUGUCAGGGAAUAAAGUGCGUCACGUGUGGCGUUUUGUAUGUACCUGAGCAAUAAGGAUCGGCUAACUCCGUGCCAGCAGCCGCGGUAAUACGGAGGAUCCAAGCGUUAUCCGGAUUUAUUGGGUUUAAAGGGUGCGUAGGCGGGCCUUUAAGUCAGCGGUGAAAGUUCCCGGAUCAACCGGGGAAUUGCCGUUGAAACUAUUGGCCUUGAGUGUAGAUGAGGUGGGCGGAAUUCGAAGAGUAUGGAUGAAAUGCUGUAGAUAUUACAAAGAACUCCAAUUGCGUAGGCAGCUCACUAGGCUACAACUGACGCUGAGGCACGAAGGUGCGGGGAUCAAACAGGAUUAGAUACCCUGGUAUCCGCACACUGACGAUGAAUACUAACUGUUUGCGAUACACAGUGAGUGGUACAGUGAAAACGUUAAGUAUUCCACCUGGGGAGUACGCCGGCACCGGUGAAACUCAAGGAAUUGACGGGGGCCCGCACAAGCGGAGGAACAUGUGGUUUAAUUCGAUGAUACGCGAGGAACCUUACCCGGGCUUGAAUUGCAUCUGAAUGUCUCGGAAACGUGGCAGCCAUCAAUGACAGAUGUGAGGUGCUGCAUGAUUGUCGUCAGCUCGUGCCGUGAGUGUCGGCUUAAGUGCCAUAACGAGCGCA
rnacentral:rRNA from 1 species